AGAGUUUGAUCAUGGCUCAGGACGAACGCUGGCGGCGUGCCUAAUACAUGCAAGUCGAGCGGACCUUUCGGGGUCAGCGGCGGACGGGUGAGUAACACGUGGGCAAUCUGCCCGAUACUCUGGGAUAACGCUUGGAAACGAGUGCUAAUACCGGAUGGUCUUCUUGGCCGCAUGGCCGAGAAGGAAAAGACGCGUUCGCGUCGGUGUCGGAUGAGCCCGCGGCGCAUUAGCUAGUUGGUGAGGUAACGGCCCACCAAGGCGACGAUGCGUAGCCGACCUGAGAGGGUGACCGGCCACACUGGGACUGAGACACGGCCCAGACUCCUACGGGAGGCAGCAGUAGGGAAUCUUCCACAAUGGGCGAAAGCCUGAUGGAGCAACGCCGCGUGAGUGAUGAAGGCCUUCGGGUUGUAAAACUCUGUCAUUCGGGACGAACCGGAGUCUGAGGAAAUGCAGACUCUCUGACGGUACCGGAGGAGGAAGCCCCGGCUAACUACGUGCCAGCAGCCGCGGUAAUACGUAGGGGGCAAGCGUUGUCCGGAUUCACUGGGCGUAAAGCGCGCGCAGGCGGUGAUGUAAGUCUGAGGUGAAAACCCGAAGCUCAACUUCGGGACUGCCUUGGAUACUGCGUCACUUGAGGAUAGGAGAGGCAAGGGGAAUUCCACGUGUAGCGGUGAAAUGCGUAGAGAUGUGGAGGAACACCUGUGGCGAAGGCGCCUUGCUGGCCUAUUUCUGACGCUGAGGCGCGAAAGCGUGGGGAGCAAACAGGAUUAGAUACCCUGGUAGUCCACGCUGUAUACGAUGAGUGCUAGGUGUAGGUGGGCUCUCAUACCCAAUCUGUGCCGAAGCUAACGCAUUAAGCACUCCGCCUGGGGAGUACGGUCGCAAGACUGAAACUCAAAGGAAUUGACGGGGGCCCGCACAAGCAGUGGAGCAUGUGGUUUAAUUCGAAGCAACGCGAAGAACCUUACCAGGACUUGACAUCCCAUAGACCAGUCUAGAGAUAGACUUUCCCUUCGGGGCUGUGGUGACAGGUGGUGCAUGGUUGUCGUCAGCUCGUGUCGUGAGAUGUUGGGUUAAGUCCCGCAACGAGCGCAACCCUUACUUUGUGUUGCCAGCAUUCAGUUGGGCACUCACAAGGGACUGCCGCCGAUAAGGCGGAGGAAGGUGGGGAUGACGUCAAAUCAUCAUGCCCCUUAUGUCCUGGGCUACACACGUGCUACAAUGGGCGGUACAACGGGAUGCGAAGCCGCGAGGUGGAGCCAAACCCUGAAAACCGUUCGUAGUUCGGAUUGUAGGCUGCAACUCGCCUACAUGAAGCCGGAAUUGCUAGUAAUCGCGGAUCAGCAUGCCGCGGUGAAUCCGUUCCCGGGCCUUGUACACACCGCCCGUCACACCACGAGAAUGGGCAACACCCGAAGUCGGUGGGGUAACCUUUACGGGAGCUAGCCGCCGAAGGUGGGGCCUGUGAUUGGGGUGAAGUCGUAACAAGGUAGCC
rnacentral:rRNA from 1 species